rnacentral:tRNA from 1 species
GGAGAGUUGGCCGAGUUGGCUGAAGGCGCACGAUUGCUAAUCGUGUGUGCGGUGUUGAGCUGCACCGAGGGUUCGAAUCCCUCACUCUCCG